rnacentral:lncRNA from 1 species
CAGUCAAAGAAGUGUCUUUGGAGACUCCAUUUGAAGAGCUUCUGGAAGAACAGCAGAGAAACCAGGGAACCAGGGCCACCAAAGAAAUGUGUCAAAGGGUGGUGGGGACAAGACUGGAUGUGUGACCUCUCUUUGCCCUAAACCUUGGCUUGAGACAACAGGUGUAGGAGUUAGGGAGCUGGCUCAGCAGUUAAGAGCAAUGGCUGCUCUUGCAGAGGA